CCCUACGGGGGGCAGCAGUAGGGAAUUUUCGUCAAUGGGCGCAAGCCUGAACGAGCAAUGCCGCGUGGAGGAUGAAGGUUUUAGGAUUGUAAACUCCUUUUGUAAGAGAAGAUUAUGACGGUAUCUUACGAAUAAGCACCGGCUAACUCCGUGCCAGCAGCCGCGGUAAUACGGAGGGUGCAAGCGUUACUCGGAAUCACUGGGCGUAAAGAGCGCGUAGGCGGGUGGUCAAGUCAGAUGUGAAAUCCUGUAGCUUAACUACAGAACUGCAUUUGAAACUGAUCAUCUAGAGUAUGGGAGAGGUA
rnacentral:rRNA from 1 species